rnacentral:rRNA from 1 species
AAUAUUGGACAAUGGGGGGAACCCUGAUCCAGCCAUGCCGCGUGUGUGAAGAAGGUCUUCGGAUUGUAAAGCUCUUUAAGUCGGGAGGAAGGGCAGUAAGUUAAUACCUUGCUGUUUUGAUGUUACCGACAGAAUAAUCACCGUCUAACUUCGUGCCAGCCGUCGCGGUAAUACGAAGGGUGCAAGCGUUAAUCGGAAUUUCUGGGCGUAAAGCGCGCGUAGGUGGUUUGAUAAGUUGGAUGUGAAAGCACCGGGCUCAACCUGGGAAUUGCAUCCAAAACUGUCUGACUAGAGUAUGGCAGAGGGUGGUGGAAUUUCCUGUGUAGCGGUGAAAUGCGUAGAUAUAGGAAGGAACACCAGUGGCGAAGGCGACCACCUGGGCUAAUACUGACACUGAGGUGCGAAAGCGUGGGGAGCAAACAGG